ensembl:lncRNA
CUACUCUUUAGGCACCCCAGAGUUAGCCUAAAUGCAUGUUACACUUAAUACCCAAUGGAGAGACAAUUUAAUACAAGCAGCCACAAGUGCCUGAUGCUACGGCGUAGACGAAUUUCUCCUUUUCCUGCAUUUUGACCCUCACACCAAGUCCCACUCGCGCCCAGCCCAGGCAAGCAAAACUCUCCUCGCCGUGGCCGCACAGCGCGCGACAGAAGAGCGGGUUUGUGCUCGAGAGACACAACCUGCGGGAGGCGGAGGGCCACAGUGUGGGGCGAUUUUGCUUUUCUGUGUUAUCACGAAGCAGAAACCCAGCUCUCGGGGGAAGCGGGGCGAGCGCAGCCUGGCCGCAGCCCCGAUGCGCCGGCUGCAGGGCGGCUCCAAAUCCCAGGCUCCUGCCCGCCAACGUCCCGGUGAGGAAAUAGUUAGGAAAAGGCUCCCGGUGGGAAAACCUUCUGUUUUGCUGAUCUUGUAAAUCAGCUGAAUUCAGCAUGUCACCAGCACGUCUUACAAUCCACAAGACAAUGCCCAGAUUUCUGUAGUGCAGAAGCAUAUUAACCUUUGUGUACUCUUGCCGGGUUUCGACAAAAGAUGUCUGUUAAGAACUGCAGGGCUCAUUGUAAUUGCUUGCCAUGUGGGUAAAUGAUCCGGAGCUGUGUGAAGAUAAGAAGAAAUUGCUAAAGGCAAAUCACCUGGGUUUUAUUAUGCUUGCCCUAAAAAUAAUUAGCAUGGCCUAUGAAAUCAUACUGUGAGGGGAUUUGUUUUAGCAGGAAACUGUAACCUAUAUAUUGUAGCUUGCUUUCUAGAGAGCUGAUCUUUGUAGUUGUGUUGAUGUGUCUUUUUCUUUAUUUUCUUUUUAACUACAGUGAGAGACAAAUGAAUGAGCUCGUAUUGCUCUGAAUAGCAACAAGGUGACUGGUUGCCAGCCUGUAAAAUCUGGUAUCGUCCCUGCUGGAGCCAAAGCUUGACCUUAAGAAAAUUCCUGCCAGUUUCUCCGAGGGAGCGUGUCCCUGUGCUGCUGCAGAAGCCUGUCUGCCACAGUGCAGCCUUCUUCCGAAAAAAGGCGAAGGGAGAAGCGUCACGGACCAGCCCCUGCACUCCGAGGGACGUGGACACACCAGGGAGAAGAGAACCAUGUGGAAGGGAUGUUGGAUGCCAGGGGCUGGCCCGAACCAGCCAAAGCCCCAAACAUCUCAUGGUUUCGCCCUCCCUGAGACGGGAUGGCGCCUGCUCCUGCGGCCGCAGCCAGCUUAGCUGCAGGAGCGCAGAGAGAAGAGCAGGGAUUGAGAACCAGCUCUGAGGAUCCAUAAAAAUCUCAAGCACAGAAGAGAGAAAAACUCCCUUAAAGCCAGGGCAUAAUCAGAGCUCGCUCCUUGGCCGGGCCGUGCAGCGCGAGCGGCCGCAGCUCCCCCGGGAGCUCGCCGGCUCCGCCGGAGCUUUGAGGCAAAGGCAGAGGGGCCGAGCCCGCGGCCGCUCGCAGCAGAAGCGGGGAUAAUUCCCUGCACGGGGCCGAGAGCUGAGCCUUGGUCCAGCGAGGGAUUUCUGGGAGCGCUGAGCACGCAGUUAGCAAAGCAGCAGCUUUCAGUUCAGCUCUACUCGCUCAGGACGGGGAGCACUCCUUAAAG